UACGAAGGGGGCUAGCGUUGCUCGGAAUCACUGGGCGUAAAGGGUGCGUAGGCGGGUCUUUAAGUCAGGGGUGAAAUCCUGGAGCUCAACUCCAGAACUGCCUUUGAUACUGAAGAUCUUGAGUUCGGGAGAGGUGAGUGGAACUGCGGGUGUAGAGGUGAAAUUCGUAGAUAUUCGCAAGAACACCAGUGGCGAAGGCGGCUCACUGGCCCGGUACUGACGCUGAGGCACGAAAGCGUGGGGAGCAAACAGG
rnacentral:rRNA from 1 species